CGCUGUUGCUACCGAACUUGCAACAUUGCAUCAACAAGACUAUUCCUGGCCCCCAGAGUUUCUGCGCCAGUGAGCUCGGAACAGAAAGAUGUUUUUUUUACAACGUUUUUUAUGACUGGAUAUAUGGGAUCAUCAGAUCAUGAUAUUUUGCUCUUUCACAGGGCUUAGUGAUUAUCGAGGCCGGGAGUGUUGGAAAGAUUUUUUUAAAUACAGAGGAACUAUCGUUCGCAACGGAUGUUAAAAAAGCAGACUUCAUUGACUUGUGUGAGGCGAAGAAAAAAUGAGCGGUGUACGUGACAUGAGGAGUGACAUGUGGAACAUCUGGCUCACCGCACUAGAAGCAGUGCAUGGUCAACACCACCCUCAGCAAGGAGAUCUGCUGGAAGUGAUGAACUCUUUCUCUCACUCUGGGGGAGGACCUGAGCCUUAGGACCAUGCCUCAGGACUACCUGGCAUGAUGACUCCUUGUUGUCCCCAGGCCACCUGGCCGUGCUACUGCUCCAGUUUCAACUGUUCUGCCUGCGGCUAUGGAACCCUGACCUGUUCACUGUGAUUACUAUUGUUUGACCAUCCUGGUAAUUUAUGAAAAUUUGAACAUCUUGGCCAUGUUCUGUUAUAAUCUUCACCCGGCACAGCCAGAAGAGGACUGGCCACCCCUCAUAGCCUGAUUCCUCUCUAGGUUUCUUCCUAGGUUUUGGCCUUUCUAGGGAGUUUUUCCUAGCCACCAUGCUUCUACACCUGCAUUGCUUGCUGUUUGGGGUUUUAGGCUGGGUUUCUGUACAGCACUUUGAUAUAUCAGUUGAUGUAAGGGCUAUAUAAAUACAUUUGAUUUGAUUCAGUGAUGUUAUCUCAGAAUGCCAUUUCGGAUCUAUUGUAUAAUGCUAAAAUGUUUGUAUCUGGAUUUAGUCUUUCAGCAUUAAUCAGUAGAACACGCCUGACUCUAAUCCACCAGUCAUACAGUUUGGUGUUGUCGCCAAGGAGCGUUUGGACUGUCGGGACCAGGUUUCAGCAUCUGUGCAAUGCUGACGUCCUUCCUCUCAUAGAUGGUCUGCCUGUAAAAGCACCACCUGGACUGGACACCUCCAGAAAAACUAUCUUUUUGACAAGAUCAGGGAGUUUUGCGAUGAAGAGGCUAUGGACAUCACAUGCACCGCACUAAAGUUAAGGGCAUGACAGAAACAGGCUCUCCGAAUAUAGAUUCCCUUAUUCAUGUGUGGUUUGGACAGACCAGUCAUCCGCACAAUCUGCAGUGCCUCUACUCACAUAACUCUCUCCUAAAAUACUUAGCUAAAUAUUGAUAUAUAAAAAGUGUGGUCGUAACAGGAUUUUGUGACAAUAUCAUGUGACCGUACCAAGUGUCCACCACUUAAAUAUAUGGCGCAUGCAUCUGUUUAUAUACUGUACAUGUGCACCUCACUCAGGUUUCUACUCAGGUUGCAUGGCCUACUAUGUGAUAAGUGCAUCUGCAACAGUAUAUAAAGUAUGGUAAUGUACUGGUGUGAAGGCAUUUGGGCAGUGGUAUAAAAAUACUAUAAAGUACUACUUAAGUAGUUUUGUGGUAUCUGUACAUUACUUUAUUAUUCCUAUUUUUGAUAACUUUUACUUCACUACUGUGGUAAAGAAAAUAAUGUAGUUUUUACUCCACACAAUUUCCUUAACACCCAAAAGUACCAAUUCAAACACUUAUCAAGAAAACAUCCCUGGUCAUCCAUACUGCCUCUGAUCUGGCAGACUCACUAAACACAAAUUCUUCAUUCGUAAAUUAUGUCUGAGUGUUGGGAGUGUGCCCCUGGCUAUCCAUCAAUAAAAAAAUGGUGUUGUCUGGUUUGCUUAAUAUAAAGAAGUUGAAAUGGCUUAUAUUUUUACUUUUGAUACUUAAGUACAUUGUGCCCCUGGCUAUUCGGCAAUACAUUUUUUAAAUAUAUAUAAAUACAAUUGUGCCG
ensembl:lncRNA